UGAAUGCUGGCGGCGUGCCUAAUACAUGCAAGUCGAGCGGUAACAGGGUUUCACCGUGUCCUUGACACUCCGGGCUAUAUGCGGGAGGUUAGAUUUCGAGGAUACAGUGAAGCUGCUGACGAGCGGCGGACGGCUGAGUAACGCGUGGGAACAUACCCCAAACUGAGGGAUAACGCACCGAAAGGUGUGCUAAUACCGCAUAUGAUCUUUGGAUUAAAGCUUUCGGGCGGUUUGGGAAUGGCCUGCGUAGGAUUAGAUAGUUGGCGGGGUAAAGGCCCACCAAGUCGACGAUCCUUAGAUGGUUUGAGAGGAUGAUCAUCCAGACUGGGACUGAGACACGGCCCAGACUCCUACGGGAGGCAGCAGUAGGGAAUCUUUCACAAUGGGCGAAAGCCUGAUGGAGCAACGCCGCGUGCAGGAUGACGGCCUUCGGGUUGUAAACUGCUUUUAUAAGCGAGAAAUAUGAUGGUAACUUAUGAAUAAGGAUCGGCUAACUACGUGCC
rnacentral:rRNA from 1 species